rnacentral:lncRNA from 1 species
UAACUUAGGAGGUGCCGAAUCUGUAACAUCGACUAUUAAGCCCUUGCCGUAUAUAAAAGUCAUCUCUAAGUCUCUUUCCCACGAACCCAAUUCCAAAUAUUCGCCGCUGCUAACCCAAACCCUAACAUUUUCUUUUUCCUGAUCUUGCCACUGAUCGUAAAUCAAAGAGUCAUUUUAGGAGAAAUGAGUUGUGGAGUUGCCGAAACUAGCGAAGAAGACGACGAUGAGACCAGAUCACCCAAUAAGGUUAGGUAUCAUCUUCUAUGAUUUAUUAACUGAUUAUUUGUAGUUUAAUUUGAGAAAUAACGCUUUCAAUUUAGGUAGAUUUCGAUUUCCUUACAAAAUUUCGGCAUUUUUGGAUAUACCAGUUGCAAUUGUUUGAUUAUGAUAAAAUUCAAACAAUUGCAGUAAUUAAAAAUGUCUUUUUAAAGGUUAUUUUGGAAAAAGUACCUGUUCAUUAUUCUCCACAAUUUAGGCAGAUUCUGAUUUCCUUACAAGAAUCCAGCAUCUUUAUAGCAGUUUGAUUUCCCACUGGAUGUGGUAAAAUCCAGCAAUUAGUUAUCAUAAAUGUAUAUUUUUUUCAUAUUUUAAAUUAGGGUUUUGUGGAAAUUUAUAGAAAGGGUUACGGAGAGUGCCUUUUGGUUAUUUGUGCUAAUAAAUGCUUGUCGUUUUUUGUUUAUUAACAGGAAUUAUUUAGUCGUUGUUUAUGACAUUUCAUAACGGUUUUGGGAUGUAAUAUCCCUUCUCCAUUUGGGUUUGGAUCUGGGUACGAUAUCAUAUUGCUUUUUAUUUUUAUUUUUGUGCAAAACCCUGCAACUUUUGAUAUCUUCCAUGGAAAUUAACAUUUCACUAUCUGAUCGAAGUGAACAUUUUCAUUUCUUUCAAAAGAAUUUUUAUUUUGGGUGAACUCUAUAAGGGUCAUUGAUUUUUCAUUACUUAACCAGUACCACUCAUCAAUUGGUUAAUAUGUAAAAAUAAAAUCCUGCACAAUUUUGGGGGAUACCAAAUUUACCAAUUUAUAAUUGGGAAAUAUGAAUAGCAUCAGCUGUAAUUCCUGUGGAAAUUCGAAAUCACUUGUGUUUGUCCCUUGAUUGCAGGUGAGCUUAUCUUGCCUUACCCGUGUUCUGUACUGGCCUCCAAAGUAUGAUCUCUAUUACUCUCAAAAGAUAUAUUGUUUCUCAACUGGAAAAUCUUUAACAAAACUACUCUUGGCAGAAGUUCGAUGAAUAGAUUCAUACUAAACUAGGAUUUUGUUGAAGUUUAUCAUAUUCAAUCCCUGACAUUCAAAAAAUAAAGUCAACGAAACAAAGUAGGAACCAUUUAAAGCGGAGAAUAAAAACAUGGUACUGAACUAGAAGUGUAGAAAAGCAUAAACAUGUAAUAAAGCAAAGUACGUACUCAACAAAACUCAUUUUGUGAUUCUCAAAUGUUUUAUGCAGAAUCCUGGUCGGGAAGCAGGGGAGGGUAGAGAGGGACGUGGGUAACUUAAACGUCUCUUGACAGUGGAUGCAGCUUUGAAGGAGGAAAAAAGAAAGAAGAGUGCUUGCAUAUCAGCACUUGAAGAAGGUCCUGCAAGCAGCCACAUAAUAAAAAACCUAGACAACAACAACAACACCACCACCACCACCACCACCACCACCAAACACAAAGAAGCAUUGGAGAAGCAGAAGAAGUUAAAAAUAUUAUUUAUGAGUGUGCGCAUUUCAGCACUUGAAGAAAGCUUUCGGUAGCAACAAGAAAAAGAAUUUCAUGUAUUAAUUUGUAGAAUAUUUCUGCUUGAUCAAUUAAUAAAACCCUUUUAUUUUUGUCUUCAAUACUCCCUCCAUUUCUAUAUGUAAGUCGUUUUAGAUUUUUUUUGUUAUUCCUAAUUAUUUGUUGUUUUGUGGUUAUUUAGUAGAAUUGAUUAUUAAUUUUUUUCAAAUUGUUUUUUAAUUAUUUCCUUAAUUUUUGUGCACAUGUCUAAAAGUGAUUUAUAUUAAAGAAUAGAGGGAGUAGUUCAUAUGUGAUUUCUUUAGCUCAUUCUCCUUCUCUUUGAUCUGAUCAGUUUGAGUUGUGUUCAUUAAUAUUUCUAUUUGCUUCUUUAGUAAACUUGGAAUUGACAAUGCAAUUAGUUUUAAGUUGAAAAUGACUUGAAGAAAAAGAUAUGCAUAAACAUUGUUGAUUUUGUUGCUCUUUUUUUAUUAGUUUUCGUUCAGUUCCAUGCUGGUUAAUUAAUUAUUUCCAUGCUAAGAAUGAAUAUGUUUGUUUGGUUCAUGUUGUAGCAAGAUAUUUAAUAGAGUAAAUUUUGGCAAACUACCAUAACAAAAGAUGGCGUCAAAUUUAAUGUUUGUUUG